rnacentral:rRNA from 1 species
CACAUGCAAGUCGAGGGGCAGCAUCAUCAAAGCUUGCUUUGAUGGAUGGCGACCGGCGCACGGGUGAGUAACACGUAUCCAACCUGCCGACAACACUGGGAUAGCCUUUCGAAAGAAAGAUUAAUACCGGAUGGCAUAAUUAUUCCGCAUGGGAUAAUUAUUAAAGAAUUUCGGUUGUCGAUGGGGAUGCGUUCCAUUAGGCAGUUGGCGGGGUAACGGCCCACCAAACCUACGAUGGAUAGGGGUUCUGAGAGGAAGGUCCCCCACAUUGGAACUGAGACACGGUCCAAACUCCUACGGGAGGCAGCAGUGAGGAAUAUUGGUCAAUGGACGAGAGUCUGAACCAGCCAAGUAGCGUGAAGGAUGACUGCCCUAUGGGUUGUAAACUUCUUUUAUACGGGAAUAAAGUUAGCCACGUGUGGCUUUUUGUAUGUACCGUAUGAAUAAGGAUCGGCUAACUCCGUGCCAGCAGCCGCGGUAAUACGGAGGAUCCGAGCGUUAUCCGGAUUUAUUGGGUUUAAAGGGAGCGUAGGCGGGUUGUUAAGUCAGUUGUGAAAGUUUGCGGCUCAACCGUAAAAUUGCAGUUGAUACUGGCGACCUUGAGUGCAACAGAGGUAGGCGGAAUUCGUGGUGUAGCGGUGAAAUGCUUAGAUAUCACGAAGAACUCCGAUUGCGAAGGCAGCUUACUGGAUUGUAACUGACGCUGAUGCUCGAAAGUGUGGGUAUCAAACAGGAUUAGAUACCCUGGUAGUCCACACAGUAAA